rnacentral:rRNA from 1 species
AACGCGAAGAACCUUACCCGGGCUCGAAGUGUGCGGAUUAGUUCUAUGAAAGUAGAAUGACACCUUAACCGGUGGAACGCAUAAAGGUGCUGCAUGGCUGUCGUCAGCUCGUGCCGUGAGGUGUUGGGUUAAGUCCCGCAACGAGCGCAACCCUUAUCAUUAGUUGCCAACGCGUAAUGGCGGGGACUCUAGUGAGACUGCCUAGGUUAACUAGGAGGAAGGUGAGGAUGACGUCAAGUCCGCAUGGCCUUUAUGUCUGGGGCUACACACGUGCUACAAUGGUCGGUACAGAAGGCAGCAAUACCGCAAGGUGGAGCAAAUCCGUAAAGCCGAUCUCAGUUCGGAUUGUAGUCUGCAACUCGGCUACAUGAAGUUGGAAUUGCUAGUAAUGACGUGUCAGCAACAACGUCGUGAAUACGUUCCCGGGCCUUGUACACACCGGAGUA